rnacentral:rRNA from 1 species
ACACGACUACAUUAGAUACCCGGGUAGUCCUAGCCGUAAACGAUACUCGCUAGGUGUCGGCCACGGUGCGACCGUUGUCGGUGCCGUAGGGAAGCCGUGAAGCGAGCCACCUGGGAAGUACGGCCGCAAGGCUGAAACUUAAAGGAAUUGCGGGGGAGCACAACAACGGGUGGAGCUUGCGGUUUAAUUGGAUUCAACGCCGGAAAUCUUACCGGGACCGACAGCAACAUGAAGGCCAAGCUGAAGACUUUGCCGGAUUAGCUG